AGCAGCCGCGGUAAUUCCAGCUCCAAUAGCGUAUAUUAAAGUUGUUGCAGUUAAAAGCUCGUAGUUGAAUUUCGGGAUUGACACAUCGGUCGUGCCUUAAGGGGUAUGAACUGGUGUAGUCAAUUUCUCACCUUCUGGAGAACCGCGAUGCCCUUAAUUGGGUGUCGCGGGGAACCAGGACCUUUACUUUGAAAAAUUAGAGUGUUAAAAGCAGGCAUUUUGCUUGAAUACAUUAGCAUGGAAUAAUAAAAUAGGACGGCAUGAUUCUAUUUUGUUGGUUUCUAGGAUCACCGUAAUGAUUAAUAGGGAUAGUUGGGGGCAUUAGUAUUCAAUUGUCAGAGGUGAAAUUCUUGGAUUUAUUGAAGACUAACUACUGCGAAAGCAUUUGCCAAGGAUGUUUUCAUUAAUCAAGAACGAAAGUUAGGGAUCGAAGACGAUCAGAUACCGUCGUAGUCUUAACCAUAAACUAUGACCGACUAGGAAUCAGACGAUGUUAAUUUUUAAUGUACUCUAUUCGGCG
rnacentral:misc_RNA from 1 species